rnacentral:rRNA from 1 species
AUUGAACGCUGGCGGCAUGCCUUACACAUGCAAGUCGAACGAGGGUAGCAAUACCUUAGUGGCGAACGGGUGAGUAAUAUAUCGGAACGUACCCUAGAGUGGGGGACAACCAGUCGAAAGACUGGCUAAUACCGCAUACGAUCUCUGGAUGAAAGUGGGGGACCGCAAGGCCUCACGCUCCUGGAGCGGCCGAUAUCUGAUUAGCUAGUUGGUGAGGUAAAGGCUCACCAAGGCUUCGAUCAGUAGCUGGUCUGAGAGGACGAUCAGCCACACGGGGACGGAGACACGGCCCAGAAUCGUACGGGAGGCAGCAGUGGGGAAUUUUGGACAAUGGGCGAAAGCAUGAUCCAGCAAUGCCGCGUGAGUGAAGAAGGCCUUCGGAUUGUAAAGCUCUUUUGUCAGGGAAGAAACGGUAGGUGUUAAUACCAUCUGCUAAUGACGGUACCUGAAGAAUAAGCACCGGCUAACUACGUGCCAGCGGCCGCAGUAA